rnacentral:rRNA from 1 species
UGAGGAAUAUUGGUCAAUGGGCGGGAGCCUGAACCAGCCAAGUCGCGUGAGGGAAGACGGUCCUAUGGAUUGUAAACCUCUUUUGUCAGGGAGCAAUUCCCGCCACGUGUGGCGGGAGGGAGAGUACCUGAAGAAAAAGCAUCGGCUAACUCCGUGCCAGCAGCCGCGGUAAUACGGAGGAUGCGAGCGUUAUCCGGAUUUAUUGGGUUUAAAGGGUGCGUAGGCGGAGUGCCAAGUCAGCGGUAAAAAUUCGGGGCUCAACCCCGUCGUGCCGUUGAAACUGGCGCCCUUGAGUGGGCGAGA